rnacentral:lncRNA from 1 species
CACAGAUGCACCUGGCACUACUCUUCAAAGUGUGGUCAGCAGACCUUAGAAAUACAAAACUGCAGAUUUAUUGAAUCAGAAUCUGCAUUUUAACGAGAUUCUCAGGUGAUUCAGGUGCAUGUGAGAGUUUUGCCCUUCCCCUUCCUUCUUCUUGGUACAUAGACAUGUGGAGAUGGACGAGCUUUUUGUGACCCUGAAGCAUCAAACCACACGCUGAGGAUAGCUGUACAGAAGGAGUCCAAAGAAGCUCCCAACUGCCUACGUCCAGACCUCACUUACACAGGUCAUAUAUACUGCUUCUUUAGUGAACUGAGAUGUAAGCAGCAUGGUAGAUUUGAAACAUCACGGGAUCCACAUUCAGCCCUAUUUGGACUAUGAGAUCCCACAUUCCUGAACAGAGGUGACUGCAUUAGGAGUAAGCACUUGAUACAGACUGAGUUGAUGAACAGUGACUUGGCCAAAUUACAGGAGAUUUUGGAUAAAGAGAAAUGGAACUACACUGUGAGGAUGCAGAGGAGAAUGACUGACAAGUUAAGGAGGGCAGGGACAAUAAACCUCUCAGCUUUGGUUUCUGUAUCUACUAAAAGGUUUGAAUAAGUGAUUAAGGAACUGCUGC